GACGAACGCUGGCGGCGUGCCUAAUACAUGCAAGUUGAGCGCUCAAGGGUGGUGCUUGUACCAAUUGGGUUAGCAGCGAACGGGUGAGUAACGCGUGGGUAACCCGCCUUUGAGCGGGGGACAACAUUUGGAAACGAGUGCUAAUACCGCAUAAUAUAUUUAAACACAAGUUUCAAGUUUGAAAGAUGGUUUUGCUUUCCUCUAAGAUGAUCUCGCUUCCGAAUAGCUAAGUGGGGAGGUAAAGGCUCACCAAGGCGAAGAGUCAUAGCCGACCUGAGAGGGGGAUCGGCCACAUUGGGACUGAGACACGGCCCAAACCCCUACGGGAGGCAGCAGGAGGGAAACUUCGGCAAUGGACGGAAGGCUGACCGAGGAACGCCGCGGGAGGUGAGGAAGGUGUCGGGUCGUAAAACUCGGUUGGUAGAGAAGAACGUAAGUGGGAAUGGAAAGCGCAUCAAGUGACGGUAACUACUCAGAAAGCGACGGCUAACUACGUG
rnacentral:rRNA from 1 species